rnacentral:rRNA from 1 species
UACGAAGGGGGCUAGCGUUGUUCGGAAUUACUGGGCGUAAAGCGUGCGCAGGCGGCUUCUCAAGUCAGGGGUGAAAGCCCAGAGCUCAACUCUGGAAUUGCCUUUGAGACUGAGUGGCUUGAGUACGAGAGAGGUGAGUGGAAUUCCCAGUGUAGAGGUGAAAUUCGUAGAUAUUGGGAAGAACACCGGUGGCGAAGGCGGCCUUCUGGACAGUGACUGACGCUGAGACGACGGAAAAGCGUUGGGGAGCAAACAGG